rnacentral:rRNA from 1 species
GUGGGAUCAGUGGCGAACGGGUGAGUAACACGUGAGCAACCUGCCCCUGACUCUGGGAUAAGCGCUGGAAACGGCGUCUAAUACUGGAUAUGUGACGUGACCGCAUGGUCUGCGUUUGGAAAGAGUUUUCGGUUGGGGAUGGGCUCGCGGCCUAUCAGCUUGUUGGUGAGGUAAUGGCUCACCAAGGCGUCGACGGGUAGCCGGCCUGAGAGGGUGACCGGCCACACUGGGACUGAGACACGGCCCAGACUCCUACGGGAGGCAGCAGUGGGGAAUAUUGCACAAUGGGCGGAAGCCUGAUGCAGCAACGCCGCGUGAGGGAUGACGGCCUUCGGGUUGUAAACCUCUUUUAGCAGGGAAGAAGCGAAAGUGACGGUACCUGCAGAAAAAGCGCCGGCUAACUACGUGCCAGCAGCCGCGGUAAUACGUAGGGCGCAAGCGUUAUCCGGAAUUAUUGGGCGUAAAGAGCUCGUAGGCGGUUUGUCGCGUCUGCUGUGAAAUCCCGAGGCUCAACCUCGGGCCUGCAGUGGGUACGGGCAGACUAGAGUGCGGUAGGGGAGAUUGGAAUUCCUGGUGUAGCGGUGGAAUGCGCAGAUAUCAGGAGGAACACCGAUGGCGAAGGCAGAUCUCUGGGCCGUAACUGACGCUGAGGAGCGAAAGGGUGGGGAGCAAACAGGCUUAGAUACCCUGGUAGUCCACCCCGUAAACGUUGGGAACUAGUUGUGGGGUCCAUUCCACGGAUUCCGUGACGCAGCUAACGCAUUAAGUUCCCCGCCUGGGGAGUACGGCCGCAAGGCUAAAACUCAAAGGAAUUGACGGGGACCCGCACAAGCGGCGGAGCAUGCGGAUUAAUUCGAUGCAACGCGAAGAACCUUACCAAGGCUUGACAUAUACGAGAACGGGCCAGAAAUGGUCAACUCUUUGGACACUCGUAAACAGGUGGUGCAUGGUUGUCGUCAGCUCGUGUCGUGAGAUGUUGGGUUAAGUCCCGCAACGAGCGCAACCCUCGUUCUAUGUUGCCAGCACGUAAUGGUGGGAACUCAUGGGAUACUGCCGGGGUCAACUCGGAGGAAGGUGGGGAUGACGUCAAAUCAUCAUGCCCCUUAUGUCUUGGGCUUCACGCAUGCUACAAUGGCCGGUACAAAGGGCUGCAAUACCGUGAGGUGGAGCGAAUCCCAAAAAGCCGGUCCCAGUUCGGAUUGAGGUCUGCAACUCGACCU